GAGACAGCAGCAGCCGCGGUAAUACAGAGGGUGCGAGCGUUAAUCGGAUUUACUGGGCGUAAAGCGUGCGUAGGCGGCUUUUUAAGUCGGAUGUGAAAUCCCUGAGCUUAACUUAGGAAUUGCAUUCGAUACUGGGAAGCUAGAGUAUGGGAGAGGAUGGUAGAAUUCCAGGUGUAGCGGUGAAAUGCGUAGAGAUCUGGAGGAAUACCGAUGGCGAAGGCAGCCAUCUGGCCUAAUACUGACGCUGAGGUACGAAAGCAUGGGGAGCAAACAGGAUUAGAUACCCCGUAGUCCCUGUCUCUUAUACA
rnacentral:rRNA from 1 species